UACGAAGGGGACUAGCGUUGUUCGGAUUUACUGGGCGUAAAGCGCGCGUAGGCGGAUCGCUAAGUCAGGGGUGAAAUCCCAGGGCUCAACCCUCGGAACUGCCUUUGAUACUGACGGUCUGGAGAUCGGGAGAGGGUUGGUGGAAUUCCGAAGUGUAGAGGUGUAAAUUCGUAGAUAUUCGGAGGAACACCAGAAGCGAAGGCGGCCCAACUGGCCCGGAUACUGACGCUGGAGGCGACGAAAGCGUGGGGAGCAAACGGG
rnacentral:rRNA from 1 species